AAGAUAUUAGUAAAAUAAUUACAUAACUUUGUCGAAGUUAAAUUAUAGACUAAACCCCUAUAUAUCUUA
rnacentral:tRNA from 1 species